GACGAACGCUGGCGGCGUGCUUAACACAUGCAAGUCGAACGGAAAGGCCCUGCUUUUGUGGGGUGCUCGAGUGGCGAACGGGUGAGUAACACGUGAGUAACCUGCCCUUGACUUUGGGAUAACUUCAGGAAACUGGGGCUAAUACCGGAUAGGAGCUCCUGCUGCAUGGUGGGGGUUGGAAAGUUUCGGCGGUUGGGGAUGGACUCGCGGCUUAUCAGCUUGUUGGUGGGGUAGUGGCUUACCAAGGCUUUGACGGGUAGCCGGCCUGAGAGGGUGACCGGCCACAUGGGGACUGAGAUACGGCCCAGAAUCCUACGGGAGGCAGCAGUGGGGAAUAUUGCACAAUGGGCGGAAGCCUGAGGCAGCAACGCCGCGUGCGGGAUGACGGCCUUCGGGUUGUAAACCGCUUUCGCCGGUGACGAAGCGUGAGUGACGGUAAUGGGUAAAGAAGCACCGGCUAACUACGUG
rnacentral:rRNA from 1 species